CCUACGGGUGGCAGCAGUGAGGAAUAUUGGUCAAUGGACGAGAGCCUGAACCAGCCACGUAGCGUGAAGGAUGACUGCCCUAUGGGUUGUAAACUUCUUUUAUAAAGGAAUAAAACGUGGCACGUGUGCCUUUUUGCAUGUACUUUAUGAAUAAGGAUCGGCUAACUCCGUGCCAGCAGCCGCGGUAAUACGGCGGAUCCGCGCGUUAUCCGGAUUUAUUGGGGUUAAAGGGAGCGUAGAUGGGUUGGUAAGUCAGUUGUGAAAGUUUGGGGCUCAACCGUAAGAUUGCAAUUGAUACUGGCAGUCUUGAGUACAGUAGAGGUAGGCGGAAUUCGUGGUGUAGCGGUGAAAUGCAUAGAUAUCACGAAGAACCCCGAUUGCGAAGGCAGCUUACUAAACUGUGACUGACAUUGAUGCUCGAAAGUGUGGGUAUCAAACAGGAUUAGAUACCCCUGUAGUC
rnacentral:rRNA from 1 species